AGGAGGUUGGUCUAAGUGGUAUGAUUCUCGCUCGGGUGCGAGAGGUCGUGGGUUCGAUUCCCGCAACUCCCC
rnacentral:tRNA from 1 species